rnacentral:rRNA from 1 species
UACGUAGGCAGCAAGCGUUGUUCGGAAUUACUGGGCGUAAAGAGCGUGUAGGCGGCCCGGUAAGUCCGCUGUGAAAGUCGGGGGCUCAACCCUCGAAUGCCGGUGGAUACUGUCGGGCUAGAGUGCGGAAGAGGCGAGUGGAAUUCCUGGUGUAGCGGUGAAAUGCGCAGAUAUCAGGAGGAACACCAAUUGCGAAGGCAGCUCGCUGGGACGUAACUGACGCUGAGACGCGAAAGCGUGGGGAGCAAACAGG